rnacentral:rRNA from 1 species
UACGUAGGGGGCUAGCGUUGUCCGGAUUUAUUGGGCGUAAAGAGCGUGUAGGCGGCCAGGUAGGUCUGCUGUGAAAACUCGAGGCUCAACCUCGAGACGUCGGCGGAAACCAUCUGGCUAGAGUCCGGAAGAGGAGAGUGGAAUUCCUGGUGUAGCGGUGAAAUGCGCAGAUAUCGGUCGGAACACCGAUGGCGAAGGCGGACACCUGGGGCAUUCUUGACGCUGAGGCGCGAAAGCGGGGGGAGCGAACGGG